rnacentral:rRNA from 1 species
UACGUAGGGUGCGAGCGUUAAUCGGAAUUACUGGGCGUAAAGCGUGCGCAGGCGGUAAUGCAAGACAGAUGUGAAAUCCCCGGGCUUAACCUGGGAACUGCAUUUGUGACUGCAUUGCUGGAGUGCGGCAGAGGGGGGAUGGAAUUCCGCGUGUAGCAGUGAAAUGCGUAGAUAUGCGGAGGAACACCGAUGGCGAAGGCAAUCCC